GAUGAAGAACGCAGCGAAAUGCGAUAAGUAAUGCGAAUUGCUGAAUUCAGUGAGUCAUCGAAUCUUUGAACGCACAUUGCGCCCUGUGGUAUUCCGCAGGGCAUGCCUGUUCGAGCGUCAUUUCAACCCUCAAGCUCUGCUUGGUGUUGGGCCCUGCCCGCUGCGGCCGGCCCUAAAGACAGUGGCGGUGCCGCCUGGCCCUGAGCGUAGUACAUCUCUCGCUCCAGUGCCCGGUGGUAGCCUGCCAGAACCCCAACUCUCGUGGUUGACCUCGGAUCAGGUAGGGAUACCCGCUGAACUUAAGCAUAUCAAUAAGCGGAGGA
rnacentral:misc_RNA from 1 species